UACGUAGGGUGCGAGCGUUGUCCGGAAUUAUUGGGCGUAAAGAGCUUGUAGGCGGUCUGUCGCGUCUGCUGUGAAAAUCCGGGGCUCAACCCCCAGACUUGCAGUGGGUACGGGGCAGACUAGAGUGUGGUAGGGGGAGACUGGAAUUCCUGGUGUAGCGGUGAAAUGCGCAGAUAUCAGGAGGAACACCGAUGGGCGAAGGCAGGUCUCUGGGCCACUACUGACGCUGGAGAAGCGAAAGCAUGGGGAGCGAACAGG
rnacentral:rRNA from 1 species